AUGCCCCAUGACGUAGUAGCCACUUUCAGUAAACAUAUCAGACGUCACAGAAAUCUCCAACUCUUUAUUAAGCUCCCCGAAGAAGAAGAGAAGAAAAAAAGGGGGAGAAGUCAAAGACUCUACCCCCGCCCAAACAACUCCCCCUGCAAUUCUGGCACAUUUGCGCUUCAAGGUCACGCGCGUGAGCGGGAACGAGAGGGAGAGAGAGAGCGAGGAAGAGAGAAUGCAGAAAAACAAAGCCAAGCCCCAAAGAAAUCGUGGAAGGGGGUGGAAGGGGGCGAAGGGGGCUUGACGGCGGAGCGCAUAGUUGAGCAACCACUUGUUGUUGCUGCCGCUUUUAUUGCUCCUCUUCAGCCAGCGCCAGUUUAAGGCCACCAAAUAUGCACUGGGAGAAACAAAUAGCACAUACAUCUUAACAAAAAACACUUAAAGAUUAUAGAUUUCUGGAUAUU
ensembl:ncRNA lncRNA:CR44409 long non-coding RNA:CR44409